rnacentral:misc_RNA from 1 species
AAGUCGUAACAAGGUUUCCGUAGGUGAACCUGCGGAAGGAUCAUUAAUGAAAUGCAAGGACGCUCUUUUAGAGGUCCGACCUAUUCAUCCUUUCACCCUGUGCACAAAUUAUUUUUACAUCCAUUUUAAACACAUAAAGUUAUUGAAUGUCUAUAGUCUCUUGAUUGAGCAUAAACAAAAUAAAA